CCUACGGGUGGCAGCAGUGAGGAAUAUUGGUCAAUGGGCGCGAGCCUGAACCAGCCAAGUAGCGUGAAGGAUGACUGCCCUACGGGUUGUAAACUUCUUUUAGAAAGGAAUAAAGUGAGGCACGUGUGCCUUGUUUUAUGUAUUUUAUGAGUAAAGAGCGGCUAACACCGUGCCAGCAGCCGCGGUAAUACGGAGGAGCAGAGCGUUAUCCGGAUUUAUUGGGUUUAAAGGGAGCGUAGAUGGGUUGUUAAGUCAGUUGUGAAAGUUUGCGGCUCAACCGUAAAAUUGCAAUUGAUACUGGCAGCCUUGAGUACAGUCGAGGUAGGCGGAAUUCGUGGUGUAGCGGUGAAAUGCUUAGAUAUCACGAAGAACUCCGAUUGCGAAGGCA
rnacentral:rRNA from 1 species